UACAGAGGGGGCAAGCGUUGUUCGGAAUUACUGGGCGUAAAGGGCGCGUAGGCGGCCUUCUAAGUCAGACGUGAAAUCCCUCGGCUCAACCGGGGAACUGCGUCUGAGACUGGAAGGCUUGAAUCCGGGAGAGGGAUGUGGGAAUUCCAGGUGUAGCGGUGAAAUGACGUAGAUAUCUGGAGGAACACCGGUGGCGAAGGCGGCAUCCUGGACCGGUAUUGACGCUGAGGCGCGAAAGCGUGGGGAGCAAACAGGG
rnacentral:rRNA from 1 species